UUCGCUAAGGACAUUCUUCGGAGUGGCCUCGUUUCUAGGACGCUUGUCCGCUUUCCAAUACAAGUUCCACCUCGUGGACAUGACUUUUUAUUAUCUGGCCUCAAAUCAGGUAGGACUACCCGCUGAACUUAAGCAUAUCAAUAAGCGGAGGAAAAGAAACUAACAAGGAUUCCCCUAGUAACGGCGAGUGAAGCGGGAAAAGCUCAAAUUUGAAAUCUGGCAGCCUCAGGUUGUCCGAGUUGUAAUCUAUAGAAACGUUUUCCGCGCCGGCCCAUGUACAAGUCCCUUGGAAUAGGGCGUCAUAGAGGGUGAGAAUCCCGUCCUUGACACGGACCACCGGUGCUUUGUGAUACGUUUUCAACGAGUCGAGUUGUUUGGGAAUGCAGCUCAAAAUGGGUGGUAAAUUCCAUCUAAAGCUAAAUAUUGGCGAGAGACCGAUAGCGAACAAGUACCGUGAGGGAAAGAUGAAAAGCACUUUGGAAAGAGAGUUAAACAGUAUGUGAAAUUGUUGAAAGGGAAACGAUUGAAGUCAGUCAUGUCUAUUGGACUCAGCCGGUUCUGCCGGUGUACUUCCUUUAGAUGGGGUCAACAUCAGUUUUGAUCGCUGGAAAAGGGCGGGAGGAAUGUAGCACUCUCGGGUGAACUUAUAGCCUUCCGUCGUAUACAGUGGUUGGGACUGAGGAACGCAGCAUGCCUUUAUGGCCGGGG
rnacentral:rRNA from 1 species